rnacentral:rRNA from 1 species
UACGUAGGGCGCAAGCGUUGUCCGGAAUUAUUGGGCGUAAAGAGCUCGUAGGCGGCCACGCACGUCCGUUGUGAAAUCGCCCGGCUCAACUGGGCGGGGUCGGCGGAUACGGCGUGGCUGGAGCAAGCUAGGGGGCAAUGGAAUUCCCGGUGUAGCGGUGGGAUGCGCAGAUAUCAGGAGGAACACCGAUGGCGAAGGCAGGUCACUGGGCCGCAACUGACGCUGAGGAGCGAAAGCAUGGGGAGCGAACAGG